rnacentral:lncRNA from 1 species
CUCAUUACUCCUCAAUGAAAACAUUGGUAUUCUUUGUAUUUCAUUUGCCCUUUUUUGGUAAUGUUAUUCUUAAAGAAAUGAUUUCAGACAACAAUAACAAAGUUUGAUGAGUCAGUAUAGGAAUGGGGAGAGUACAGAAAUAAGAUUGAGGCAGAACUGUUAGUUUUAGGAAUAUAUCAGAUUCCUUUCUUGGCUUUCUGAACCUUGAAUCCUGAGUGAUGUUAGGAAUGCAUACAACUGAGAAUUUUAUAAAAGAGAGGGUACACAUGAACUCAGUGAAUCCAAACCUCCUAGAGACUUGGUUUACUUGUGAGGCUGUUGUGAGGGUUGAGAUAGUUAAUAUGUAUAAGUUCUUGGUAUGUAAAAAAUGCUCAGUGGGAAUUAUAAUGGAACAAAUUUACUCUUUCAAUCUCCCUUGUGAUUUUCAUCAUUUACUGACCAAAAAAUUGGAUCAACAGCCGCAUGCCUUUAAUUCUGCCUAGUCUUCGGAUUUACAGAUGAUCCCUAAUCAAACUCCCCUUAUUUGUUUAAAAAAAAUUAAAAAUAAGUGAGAAGCAAUUUGGGAGAUACUAAGAGAUUCAAUUCAGGAAAGACUUCUUGAGUAUCUACUAUGUGUUAGCCUUAGAGGAUUCAAAGAGGAAUAAUGCAGAUACAGACCUCCAAAUUUCCCAUCAGGUGCAUUAGGAAAAAAAAAAAAAAAGGAGAAUUAAGGACCUGGGUUCCAGACUCAGAUCUACAAACAACUCAGUGUAUAAAUGACUUAGGCAAGACAGCUAACAUAUGGGUACUAGUUGCUUCAUCUACUGAAUAAUACUAUUGUUAAGGGCCAUUUUUUUUUCGUUUAAAGCAGAGUUUGCUCUGACCAUUGCACAUUGAAUACUGUGUUGUACUUCAUCUGUCCUAACCACCGAAAGCUGUUAAAGAAGCCAUGAACUUUGAGUGAUCCUGGUGAGUUACAGCAAGAUCCUUAGGUCUGAAAAUUUUUCUUUCCUGACUAAUGAAUUAUGGGUCCAAUUUUACCCAUUCAUGUACACAGCUCUGGAUUUAUUCCAGCAUAUUAUUAUUUGUUUUUUCUCCCCAAUGCAAUAGUAUUAAGAAUUGGUGAUCUUAGGAGAUAAUUAGGCUAUCAGGGCUCUUCCCUCAUGAAUGGGAUGAGCACUGUUAUAAAAGGGCUGGAGGGUACUAGCUAGGCUUCUCUUUUCCAUCUCUUCCAUCAUGUGAGGACAAGCACUCCUCCUCUCCAGAGGAUGUAGCAACAAGGUGCCAGCUUGGAAGCAGAGAGACUGGAUCAGCACCAGACAUUGAACCUGCUGGCAUACUGAUCUUGAACUGCCACCCUCUAGAACUGUGAGUUUCCAGAGCUGUGAGAAAUAAAUUUCUGUUCCUUAUAAAUUACCCGGUCUCAGGUAUUUUGUCAUGGCAGUAUAUGAAUUGACUAAGAAGCAUAACAGUUAUGAGAUACUUUCCUUAACAAUGAAAAAACACUCUUUGCCCUCAGCCAACUGUAUAUUCCUUUGCCUGAAAAUAAAAAAUUCAGCUGUGUUUGUUUUGCUUUUUAAUUCUAGUGGCCAUUAUUAUUAUUAUUAUUAUUAUCUGACAAUGUCUU